rnacentral:rRNA from 1 species
UCAGUGGUGAAAUCCUGCAGCUUAACUGUAGAACUGCCAUUGAUACUGAUAUUCUCGAAUAUAGUUGAGGUAGGCGGAAUGAGUAAUGUACCGGUGAAAUGCUCAGAUAUUACUCAGAACACCGAUUGCGAAGGCAGCUUACUAAACUAUCAUUGACGCUGAGGCACGAAAGCGUGGGGAGCGAACAGGAUUAGAUACCCUGGUAGUCCACGCUGUAAACUAUGAUCACUCGCUGUUGGCAAUACACAGUCAGCGGCUGAGCGAAAGCAUUAAGUGAUCCACCUGGGGAGUACGGUCGCAAGAUUGAAACUCAAAGGAAUUGACGGGGGCCCGCACAAGCGGAGGAACAUGUGGUUUAAUUCGAUGAUACGCGAGGAACCUUACCUGGGCUUAAAUGCAGAGCGACGUUCCGGGAAACCGGAAUUCCUUCGGGCGAUCUGCAAGGUGCUGCAUGGCUGUCGUCAGCUCGUGCCGUGAGGUGUCGGGUUAAGUCCCAUAACGAGCGCAACCCUUAUCGUUAGUUGCCAGCGGGUAAUGCCGGGGACUCUAACGAAACUGCCGGUGUAAACCGUGAGGAAGGUGGGGAUGACGUCAAGUCAGCACGGCCCUUAUGUCCAGGGCUACACACGUGUUACAAUGGCCGAUACAAAGGGCAGCUACCUGGUGACAGGGUGCUAAUCUCGAAAAUCGGUCUCAGUUCGGAUUGAAGUCUGCAACUCGACUUCAUGAAGCUGGAUUCGCUAGUAAUCGCGCGUCAGCAACGGCGCGGUGAAUACGUUCCCGGGCCUUGUACACACCGCCCGUCAAGCCAUGGAAGCUUGGGGUACCUGAAGUCCGUAACCGCAAGGAGCGGCACUAGGGUAAAACAAGCUGACUGGGGCUAAGUCGUAACAAG